CCCGCUGACGAGCGGCGGGACGGGUGAGUAAUGCAUAGGAAUCUGCCCGGUAGUGGGGGAUAACCCUGGGGAAACCCAGGCUAAUACCGCAUACGUCCUACGGGAGAAAGGGGGCUCCGGCUCCCGCUAUUGGAUGAGCCUAUGUCGGAUUAGCUAGUUGGUGAGGUAAAGGCUCACCAAGGCAACGAUCCGUAGCUGGUCUGAGAGGAUGAUCAGCCACAUCGGGACUGAGACACGGCCCGAACUCCUACGGGAGGCAGCAGUGGGGAAUAUUGGACAAUGGGGGCAACCCUGAUCCAGCCAUGCCGCGUGUGUGAAGAAGGCCCUCGGGUUGUAAAGCACUUUCAGCGAGGAAGAACGCCUGUCGGUUAAUACCCGGUAGGAAAGACAUCACUCGCAGAAGAAGCACCGGCUAACUCCGUGCCAGCAGCCGCGGUAAUACGGAGGGUGCAAGCGUUAAUCGGAAUUACUGGGCGUAAAGCGCGCGUAGGUGGCUUGAUAAGCCGGUUGUGAAAGCCCCGGGCUCAACCUGGGAACGGCAUCCGGAACUGUCAGGCUAGAGUGCAGGAGAGGAAGGUAGAAUUCCCGGUGUAGCGGUGAAAUGCGUAGAGAUCGGGAGGAAUACCAGUGGCGAAGGCGGCCUUCUGGACUGACACUGACACUGAGGUGCGAAAGCGUGGGUAGCAAACAGGAUUAGAUACCCUGGUAGUCCACGCCGUAAACGAUGUCGACCAGCCGUUGGGUGCCUAGCGCACUUUGUGGCGAAGUUAACGCGAUAAGUCGACCGCCUGGGGAGUACGGCCGCAAGGUUAAAACUCAAAUGAAUUGACGGGGGCCCGCACAAGCGGUGGAGCAUGUGGUUUAAUUCGAUGCAACGCGAAGAACCUUACCUACCCUUGACAUCUACAGAAGCCGGAAGAGAUUCUGGUGUGCCUUCGGGAACUGUAAGACAGGUGCUGCAUGGCUGUCGUCAGCUCGUGUUGUGAAAUGUUGGGUUAAGUCCCGUAACGAGCGCAACCCUUGUCCUUAUUUGCCAGCACGUAAUGGUGGGAACUCUAAGGAGACUGCCGGUGACAAACCGGAGGAAGGUGGGGACGACGUCAAGUCAUCAUGGCCCUUACGGGUAGGG
rnacentral:rRNA from 1 species